rnacentral:misc_RNA from 1 species
GCUGAUUUUUGUCAAGCCGCAGACGCAAAUGUUCUCCUGUCAAUUUUACUCCAUCGCCGAGGAAUUCUGGCCAUUUUUGCGAUUUCUAUAAUCUACAGACGUAUCCUUGUGCAUUGUAACAUAGAUUUAUGAAAGAUGGGGGUAGAAGGCAGCAAGAAUAUCAUCAUACGAAAGGAGUACUUUACUAAGGAAGAGCGACAGCGUGUUCUAAACACUAUGCAAAAGCUUGCUAAAGGAGGUGAUGCUGUGGCUCUUACUUCAUUAGAGAAACAUAUCUCCAGUCGACUGAAUCCAGAAACAGCCAAAAAGUUUUUAAGGAUUUUGGCCAAAGGCAGAAAUAUUCCAUCCUUACCAUGUUCAACAGUUGUGGAUACCUUAGGUCCUCUUCUGAAAGGCUCAAUGGAAGAACACCUUUUUCUGACCCUCACCUUAGCUGGUGGAGGCCAAGAAGGAAUAGAUAGUAAUCGUAUUAUUAAAUAUACUGAAGUUUUUGUGUCUUCAUACCUUCGAAUCAUAACUGGCCAAUCAGGCUACAGAGGGUGGAAAUCUGGGCCUACAGACACUGUGAAACGUGUGUCUCAAGCCUUGUUACAUGAUUUACUGUACUCUGGUGGGAGUCCUAAAGAGACAUGGGGCAAACCACCUCCCAAGGUACGGUUCUCUUACGAUGACUUUGAGAGAUGGUGUUUGGGUCACUCGGUCUUCACCACACUGGAGACAGAAGUUCUCAAACAUUGCUUCUCAUUCUCACCCAUUGACCACACAGCGCUCAUGCCACAAGCCUCUCAACUUCCUUCGACAUUUCCAUCCAUGCUGUCAGCGGGUCAAGUACUGUACCUGAACAAUGCCCUGCCACCACUCCUACAGUCAGAGUGGAGAUUCCUCUUUUCUACAACUACACAUGGAUGGAGCUUCAGUAUAUUUAUGAAGCAGAUUGUUGCAAAAGGUCCCACACUCAUAGUUGUGGAGGACCAGUCGAGAAAUAAAUUUGGAGGUUUCGCGUCAGUCUCCUGGGAAGUCAGGCCUCAGUUCCAGGGUACACCAGAAUGCUUCUUGUUUGCCCUGGAGCCUCAGGCUGGGAUAUUCCGCAGCACAGGAUACAAUAGCAACUUUAUGUACCUCAACUACUUGGAGAAGAAUACUAUGCCUAAUGGACUGGGCAUGGGCGGCCGAGAGGAGUUAUUUGGAUUUUGGCUUGACUAUGACUUUGGUAAAGGGACGGUGGCGCCCUCAUGUAGCACGUUCUGCAGCCCCCCGCUGUCCCCACACCCGGAGUUAGAAGUGCGUAGUGUAGAAGUCUGGGCACUUGGACCUGAGGAGGAAGACUCUGAUGAAGAGGAGGGAACUCGAAAAAAGAAAAGUGCUUUGGAUGCAAAUCCUGAUGCUCGUGCUGUGCUGGACAUGGUGGGCAAAGGAAGAGCAAGUGAUGGCUACAGGGAAGAGCCACAAGAGUAGAAGCACAUAAAAUAAUUUUAUGUAGAGGAAUGAUAUUAGAACAAAAAUAAGAAGGAAGUGGGGAAGACAUCCCCCAUCCCCAGUGAUUGAUGCCCAUGUGGCCUGCAAGACAGUUGUUGGUAAAGCAGCCAAGGUGAUCGGUUAAGUCAUUAGUAUGGAUGUGAAACUGCAAGUGAUAGAGAUGUGCAGUAGGUGUGAGGCAAUGGUGGUCAACAGCACGGCAAGCUCUUACAAAAUGAAGUGGUGAGUGUUGACUAAAUUUAGUUUCAUAUGUUAUUUAUGUUAACAAUGCCUUGUUUUUAUGUAUACAAAUCAUAAGUAUAUCUGUAGAUCCAUUACCAUUACCCAAGAAAGCUGUCCUGUACCAUUUAUGGGGUUAAGAAUAAUAUUGACACUCGGGAACAUACCGUAAACUGUCUGUUUUAAGAGGUCUGACUGUACUGAACUUUGACUUGUACAACCUGAGAAGCAACUACUGUAUUAUCCCAAGUUUUAGCGAAUAUUAUGCAGGAAAGUUGAGCCAUCUGAUGCACGCCUCUGUGUACUGUACCUCGUAAACAGUUGGCAGGGACGUGGAACCUUGGAAAGGGGUAGACAGUUUUACAAUCGAUUUGCAUAAUUAAUUCAUUUCUCCGAUGAUCAUUUAUUACUGAGUGUGCGUCUGUAUUCCACAAAUAGAAUAGUAAGUCCACUAUCUUUAUUUCAAACUAUCAUUUGUAGAACAAGUUGAAGCUUGUAUCUAGUCAUACAUACCAACUGACCAGAUGUAGUCAGGUUAUGCUUUCAUUAUAAUCCGCCAAAUUUCAAUGUUCAUCGGCCAAAGUUGGGAAGGUACUUAUUUCUUAGACUGUACUGUACAUAUCUGAUUAUAUCCAAACAGUGUACAGUAUACUGUAUAGCAAACUCAGUAAACAUAAUUCAUACAAUAAUAAAGUAGGAUGUGGAAGGACUACAAAAUACUGUACUGUAUCAGCAUAAAUUUUAUUUUGCAUUAUAAUUAACAAGAGUUACUACAAUUCAAACUCACAUGGUAAAAACAUUGGGAUAAUUUAAGACUUACAUAGUUAUACGGUACAUAAAAAUAUAUAAUUUUUUCACCAUUAACCAAAUGAGCAUAAUCAAAUCAAGUGUAAUAAAUAGCAACCAUAAAAUCUAAAGAUCUUUUUACUCGGGAAGGUUUUAUCUUCCUUCACAACUACAGUUAACAAACAUAACUACAGUGUUGACAAAAUGAAGAAGUAGUAUGUUUAAUGCAGUGAUUCUUUUAAUAGUAUUUGUCAGUCAACAUAAAGCCAUGACUCAGUGUUUACAAUAUUUUCACGAUCCUUAGCAUUUGAUUCCUCAAUAAAUUACAUAACAAACGUACUGUAAUAUAAAAUAAAAGUCGCAGAAAAGCACUUCUAGAUCAAAAAGAAUAUUGUACAUAUCAUGCCACUUAGAAAACAAGUAUUCUUCUCGGUGAUCUUUCCUCAUAGACAUUUGCUUUUUCAUCCUCGUACCAAACUAAAGUUAAGUGUAUGACAAGGAUCUUGUGAUUCCCGUACUUGACAGUCACUGAUCCAUUCUUGCCUCUCUAAUUUUUAACUUGGAUCAUAUUUUUCAUGUUACACACCACAGUUACACCAGCAGCUACCUAUAUACAAAACAUGGUAGGGUAGGGUGGGGUGUCUAGGGUAUAUCUAAACUGGGUAAAUUAUUCUGGAAAAUGGGCAAUAAUUUUGGUUCUGUGGGUUUCUCUCUCGUAUUUAAGAAAAUCUUAUGCCACUUCAGACUACGAGAACACUUAUGUGGAUUACGUGUUUACACCUUCACUGUGGGGUUGCUGCUUUGAAUAUUUUAUUUGGCUAAUAUCAGAUGAUUUUAUUCACCUUGGAAGUGAUCCCAUCCACAAGGGGUUAAAAUGGAUUUGGUUUACAUCUUACAUGAGUAUGAGAAACUAGGUCAUUUUAGUAUGUAUAAUCAACUUUAAAUUCAAUAAAACAUAUCCAGGAACUUUUACCAAAUUACGUAAAGAAAAAAAAAUAUCAACUUGGAUGAAAGACAAUGAAACGCAAUAACAGGUCCUCCAUUUUGCACCAUUAUAGAAAUGUAUAAACUUUCUAUUGUUGCCUGAAUUGUGCUGUGGGUAUAACUGAAAGUAUCUCUCACUGGAGUAUUAUGUUUUUUGUUUAGAAUAACAGUGACGUCGCAUUAAUUCACGAAAUUCAAAUUCUCAUUCUUAAAUUUGCGGGUACCUCCAGUACUAACAUCUUUUUAAAUUUUGUGGUAAAAUAUCCAUAAUUCAUGGCUGAGUUCUGGCUGCCACAGUGUUUAUUUACAUAAGAAACCAUAAAAGUUGUGGAAAUAUAAAUAUGACUUCAAAGGUUCAAUCAUUGGAAGACUUAGAGUUAUGGAAGUUAAAUCAUAUUAAAUCAUCUCUCCAGUGGUGAUAAAUUAGCAACAUUUUUGGACUGAACCUUGAACAUUGGUGGGAGAUUAUUGUACUACAGAACAUGUAAAUGGUGUGAAGCUUACAGUAUUAUUCUUUUCAUUUAAAACUAAUGAUUCAUAAAUAUAAUACUGUACUGUAUCUAUAAGAGAUGUUCUGGGUCCUCCCUCCCCCCAAAAAACAUGUUUAGAUUUUAAAUGAUAGGUAAAGGCUUUAUGGUUAGUUUGCUGGUACUGUACUAUAAUGUUAUUUGCUCAUUAAAACUGCCACUCCACUUUGGAUGUGGUUCUGGCUUUGUAAACUUGAUAAUACAAGUAUAAACAAAGUAAUGAUUUCUCAAACAUUUAUCCUUGUUACAUCACAAAAACAACUUAGAAGAAUUGAAAUAUUUAUUCACUUUAUACUGUUCAGAGACAUGGCUCCUGAUCAUGAACUCUGCUGUUGAGGUGGACUUGGUCAGUUUUUGUGGCAAAAACUAGUUUGGUCUAGAUGUAAAAGCUAAUGACUAUCUCCUAAUUGGUUUACAGUUCUCUUAAUGAAGGAUAAACACUAUAAAGCAGAUGUCUCAGUUACAUCAACAUGGAAUUAAUUAACUCAUAUGUUCAUAAAGGAAGCAAAUUCAUGUUUUGCAUCAGUUACAUAUUAGGUGAACUGCUUCCUUACUGUAUAUAUUGUACGAUACAGUAUUAAAAUAACACUCUAAUUAAAAUAUCAAGAUUGAGAUCAACACUGGUACAAGACAACCUGCUUCUAACUGAAAAUUAUAUUUACAUACAAACACUGCAACCACAAGCAUAGACAAUUACUAUCCUUUAGGAAAAUAUCAAGUUCAUAGAUGCCAUCAUUCUUGUAGGGUAUUUAACAGGAAUAUUAAACAAUGUAUAAGAGUCUGUACAAGGAAUCCAGUUAGCUUUAAAUUCUGGUCUUAUGUCCUGUGACCGACACCCGAGUUGUUAUCUUGGGUUAAUAAUAAUAAACGACUUAGAUGAUACAUAUUAAGAGAUUUGGGGCAAUAGGAAACACAGCCACCCACCAAUAUGUUGCAUAUUGUUAUUUUUGCUGCCAAUAUUUUUGUCUCCCCAAAUGUGUCUUUAUUCCUUGUACAAAAAUAGAAAGGGGAUAAAACUGUAACCCUUGUCUGAUCGUCCAUUCAUAUAUCCGUUCCAUCUAUAGCUGUACUGUACGUACAUACAACCUGACUUCAUUACAAUUUGCCAUAUAGCACAGUAGUAGUAGUGAAACUUUAGAAGCACAUGCAAUUUCAUAAGUUUUACAGCUUAAUAUCAAAAGUAGGCAACUGACCUACAUUUUUGCACUUUCUGACAUUUGUUAUGUUUUAAGUUAGCUUUUGCAAUUAGCUAAUUUUUGGAGGUUAACCUUUGUUGUCAAUGUGCAUAGUGUGAUAACAGUGAAGUAGACACAGUUUCUAGUUCUGUUUAUUGUCCUUCCUGUAUCUACCAGUAAUAAAAAGUACAUACAUACAUAUCACCUCACUCAGUAUAAACUUACAUUCUUUGUUGUUCUUACACUAAAUGUGCAUCUUUCACUACUUUUUUUUCUCCUCCCCCAUAAAUUUAUUCCUUGUGUAAAUGAUGAUAUUCAAUUAAUAAUAACAUGCCAAAACCAAACACAUCAAUUAUAAAUUUUAUAUACGUGAAUACCAGAUGGUCUUUCCCUCACUGACGGAUUUUUUCCAUUAGCCUCACUCCUCAAGCUUCCUGUCCGACCAAUAUGAUUUUAGUUGUUUCCCAUUUCUUUAGCUUUUUUGUCUUAAUUAAUUUAAUUGGUUACACUGAUCAACUCACCCAGCAUGACUACACUAAUUCUUUUCUUGUGUUAAAAGUAUUUGGCAGCUGCUUUAUGUACAUAACCACUAGACAAAUGCACAGAAUUAUUUUAUUAGUAUUUUUAACAAAGCUGCUGGAUCUUUGAUAUGUGAUUGUAUGGAGACACAUAAUGACCAAGUUAUUUAUACAGUAUAAGAUCUUAAAUGUUUUGUUUUUAUUGUAAUUUAAAGAAAGUCCUAUUUAACAUAUACUGUAUAGAGAUCCACCCACAUUUCAACAAAGCAAACGGCUAAUCUAAAGUUCUAGCUGCACCCGUAUUUGAUGAAAGUGAAGAGCUUUAAUAAUCAAGAAUAAGAUAUAACUGAUAAAUACCAAAAAUAUA